rnacentral:lncRNA from 1 species
UUUUUCUCCCGAGGUUCACGUGCUUGCCGGCACGCUAGUCCCCGUUGUGUCGACCAACACUUGGUGGUUCGGCGGCUAAUAGGUGUUUCACAAACCUAGCCCAACAAAUGGGAGCCACAAGAACCUACCCACAAGUGAGGUAGCUCAAUGACACGAGCAAUCCACUAGAGUGGCUUUUGGCACUCCGCCGGGGAAUAAGCCCAAGAACCCCUCACAAAUAUCACCUUGAU